rnacentral:misc_RNA from 1 species
UCGUACAACGGAGGUGCGAGGGCUGUCGCUGACUUUCAAAAGGUCGUGCACGCCCAAGCGCUCUCUCACACAUCCAUCUCACCCCCUUUGUGCAUCACCGCGUGGGUCCUCCUCACGAAGGGCUCGCGUUUUUUUAUACCAAACCCCCUAUCGAACGACGUUUUAGAAUGUUUUUAUGCGAUCAAUA